GAUGAACGCUGGCGGCGUGCCUAAUACAUGCAAGUCGAGCGAACAGACGAGGAGCUUGCUCCUCUGACGUUAGCGGCGGACGGGUGAGUAACACGUGGAUAACCUACCUAUAAGACUGGGAUAACUUCGGGAAACCGGAGCUAAUACCGGAUAAUAUAUUGAACCGCAUGGUUCAAUAGUGAAAGACGGUUUUGCUGUCACUUAUAGAUGGAUCCGCGCCGCAUUAGCUAGUUGGUAAGGUAACGGCUUACCAAGGCAACGAUGCGUAGCCGACCUGAGAGGGUGAUCGGCCACACUGGAACUGAGACACGGUCCAGACUCCAACGGGAGGCAGCAGUAGGGAAUCUUCCGCAAUGGGCGAAAGCCUGACGGAGCAACGCCGCGUGAGUGAUGAAGGUCUUCGGAUCGUAAAACUCUGUUAUUAGGGAGGAACAAAUGUGUAAGUAACUAUGCACGUCUUGACGGUACCUAAUCAGAAAGCCACGGCUAACUACGUG
rnacentral:rRNA from 1 species